CCUGGCAUUGCCUCAGUAGCGGCGAGUGAAGCGGCAAGAGCUCAGAUUUGAAAUCGUGCUUUGCGGCACGAGUUGUAGAUUGCAGGUUGGAGUCUGUGUGGAAGGCGGUGUCCAAGUCCCUUGGAACAGGGCGCCCAGGAGGGUGAGAGCCCCGUGGGAUGCCGGCGGAAGCAGUGAGGCCCUUCUGACGAGUCGAGUUGUUUGGGAAUA
rnacentral:rRNA from 1 species